rnacentral:rRNA from 1 species
UACGGAGGAUCCGAGCGUUAUCGGGAUUUAUUGGGUUUAAAGGGAGCGUAGGUGGAUUGUUAAGUCAGUUGUGAAAGUUUGCGGCUCAACCGUAAAAUUCAGUUGAAACUGGCAGUCUUGAGUACAGUAGAGGUGGGCGGAAUUCGUGGUGUAGCGGUGAAAUGCUUAGAUAUCACGAAGAACUCCGAUUGCGAAGGCAGCUCACUGGACUGCAACUGACACUGAGGCUCGAAAGUGUGGGUAUCAAACAGG